GAGGAAAGUCCGGGCUCUUUAUAGGCAAAUAUAGCUAUAUAAAAUAUAGUGUAGGUAACUAUAAGGAUAGUGCCACAGAAAUAAACCUAAUAUAUAAUAAUUUAUAUGUAAGGGUGCAAUGGUAUAGUAAAAAUAUACCAGAAAUAUUGUUAAGGUAUUUUCUAGGUAAACCCCAUAUUAGAGCAAAGUUAUUAGUUUAUAUGAAAAUUGUUCUAUUAUUUUUAUAUAUUAUAUAUACAUAAUGACUAAUUUUUUAAUAUACUGCAUAAAGUAAUAUUUUUAAUUAUUGUUACUUAAGAUGAAUAAUUACCCUUUUUGUUUAUUGACCUAUAAUAAAAAUAUAAACAAUUAAGAACAAAACCCGGCUUAU
rnacentral:RNase_P_RNA from 1 species